rnacentral:lncRNA from 1 species
AUAUUGUGACCCUCAGGUGAAUAAUGGUGUCAGAGGAGAAGGAGCGAGAUGUGGCGUGGAAGGAGCUGCGCAGGAGGAAGAGGAUGGAGGAGGUGGAGGAGCUGACCACUGCGGGACACAACGCUCUGUAAUCGGGACAAACCCAGGAGGCGCUACCGUUUCAGAGGAUCAAAGGAGACUGAAGGCAGCCCGCCAGGUUUCCACGCAGCGGCUUAGGACUAAUUCUACAUCUGCAUGGGACAGACCUUUGCCAAUCAAAGGAAACCGGUGGAGAGGGGUCACCUGCCAGCCCCAAGUAUUGGAGACAGUGAUGGCAGCCAAGGACUAAUGCCACCUCUAUGAGGAGGUAAUCUACCUGCUGGACUCCCUGCUUCGGACAUUCCUACAGAAGGGUGUGUAUGGCAUCACCACACCAUAUGAUGUGUUGACUGCAAGGGUGAAAGAACUCCUGGGACUUAUCAAAGCAAUUUUGAAAAAAACAAACAAAAAAGUGGAUUGCCUGAUAUGUAAAUGAACUGUGGAAGUUGUUGAGAUUGUUUAAAUCACAUUGUGGCAUUGGAGUUUAUGCUGUGGCAAUAAGUACCAAAAACAGUCCAAAAGUCGGAUACAGGCAACAUGUUUGCAUUAACUUUUCCACAAGUUUAGGUUUUGACCAGAUUCUGGACUCUCUCGUAUUCAGACACUAAAACAAUAAAAUAUUUUUGCAGAAGUGCAUAAAAGCUCGAUCAAUAUGCACUUCCAGUGGUGCAGAAGUGACAUUCACCUCCGGGUUAAUGUAAUCUUUAUACAAUGUUUUACGUGAUAGCGUUUCAACCAAUGAGCAUCCAGAUUGACAAAUCAAGUAAUAAUACAUUUUAUUGUCACUGCAUACAUGUAAGAUGUUUGCUUUAAAUUGUUCAGAGGUUGUUUUGACUGCUUAAAGCCAAACUAUGACGAGUCUAUUGAAACAACUGUUUGUGAUACUGCCUUUUGUGUUAUAACCAACAAACAACCCUAACUACACUUAUAAAUUGUUUUACAUAUGUGUACUAUUGUUGAAUUGCAGUCGGAAGACUUAUUUGAAAAUAAACUAAACCUAAACCUAAACUUAAGACAAACAGCACUGGAGGUAUAACCUUGGUUGGUACAUUAUUUGAUUUGGGUACUAGAAUUAAAUUCACAGAAGUAUUAACCAAUAUUAAUGGUUCCAUUUGUUUGGUUAAAUUUAACCAAUCUGGUUGGUGUCCAACCGAUCUAUU